rnacentral:rRNA from 1 species
GACGUAGGAGGCGAGCGUUGUCCGGAUUCAUUGGGCGUAAAGAGCACGCAGGCGGUUUGGCAAGUCGGAUGUGAAAACCCGGAGCUCAACUCCGGACCUGCAUCCGAAACUGCCCGACUAGAGGUAGGUAGGGGAGAUCGGAAUUCCUGGUGUAGCGGUGAAAUGCGCAGAUAUCAGGAGGAACACCGGUGGCGAAGGCGGAUCUCUGGGCCGUUACCUGACGCUCGAGGUGCGAAAGCUAGGGGAGCGAACAGG